rnacentral:lncRNA from 1 species
AAAGGUUACAUGUGAUUUGAAUAUUCAAAAAGUGCAAAAAUCACCAAACAUCUCUAUCAUAUGUGCACAACAUCUCCCAAACAUGUAUUCACACAGUUACCACAUCUCACAAUCUUAUAUGACCUUUCUGGCUCAGUAGCUUCAGCAGACGAUGCUCCUCUCCUUAUAACAUGCUUCUUCUUCAUAAUACUAACAUGUCACAAUGAAAACAGAAUUAGUAAAUUAUGCAAACAAAGAAUAAAUUACAUGUAUAAUACAGCAUAACAACUACAGUUAUUUCAAGAAAAAGUUACUUUGUUUGCAUAUAAGUAGUACAUUUGCUCGAGGUAAUAAUUUUAUUUUGUAGCACAUAAAUAUUACGUUUUUAGUACAUAAAUAUUACUUUUUCAGUACAUAAGUAUUACUUUCAAAUUAUUUAAGUACAUGUAAAACUGUUAACAAUUUCAAAUAUUAAAUCCAUAUAUCAAUAUUACUUUUCUUACUCGUAUUACUUAUUUUCAUCCAAUAGAACAUAUACAUGUCACUAGUCCAAGGCAUACUAUUAGCAAUACAUAUAUAAAAUGAUUGUAUACAAAUAUUAUAUGUGUCCAGAAUAAACUAUACAAUUAUACGCAUGAAUAUAUACUUUCAGAAUUCCAAUAACAUAAUCAGAUAUAAUCACAAACCACACCAGAUAUAAUCACAAAUCACACCACAUAUAACCAAAAACAAACAUAUCUAACCAGUUAUAAUCAAGAACCACACAAAAUACAAUUACAAAUCAUGAGAACAAAGAAACAACUAAACAAAAAAACCAGGAAAAACCCUAAUAACAUUGACGACAACGAAAUAACGACAGAUCUGAAGCAAGUCGAUUGUCGUAUACUUCAAAAAUGACAGAUCUGAAGAAAAUCGAACAAUAAGGUCACAUAGAACUAAAAAAACCCUAAUACCUUGAACACAAAGGAGAAUCGUUCCUUCACACCAGUGGGCAGACAAAUCAUACAAGAAAACGGAUGGGAAUCGUUCGGUGAAGAUAAAAGACUUGAGCGACAAAAAUUUUCCCAGUAGGGUGGAUCUGAAAUGCA